rfam:Heterocephalus glaber contig1215, whole genome shotgun sequence.
UCGUCAGGCUCAGUCCCCUCCCGAUAAAACCCUAAAUCGGGACCUUCUCAGGGGAAGACCCUGACCA